rnacentral:rRNA from 1 species
UCAGGACGAACGCUGGCGGCGUGCGUAAUACAUGCAAGUCGAACGCACCCUUCGGGGUGAGUGGCGCACGGCUGAGUAACACGUGGGAAUCUGUCUUCUAGUGGGGGAUAACGUUUCGAAAGAGACGCUAAUCCCGCAUACGCUCCGUGAGGAGGAAAGGCGCAAGUCGCUAGAAGAGGAGCCUGCGGCCCAUCAGGUAGUUGGAGAGGUAAUGGCUCACCAAGCCUAUGACGGGUAGCUGGUCUGUGAGGACAACCAGCCAGACUGGGACUGAGAACGGCCCAGACUCCUACGGGAGGCAGCAGUAAGGAAUUUUCGUCAAUGGGGGAAACCCUGAACGAGCAACGCCGCGUGGAGGAUGACGGUCUUCGGAUUGUAAACUCCUUUUGUGAGGGACGAUAAUGACGGUACCUCGCGAAUAAGCCCCGGCUAACUCUGUGCCAGCAGCCGCGGUAAUACAGAGGGGGCAAGCGUUGUCCGGAGUUACUGGGCGUAAAGCGCACGUAGGCGGUCCUGCAAGUGGUGUGUGAAACCAAUCAGCUUAACUGAUUGACGCCAUGCCAAACUGCGAGACUCGAGUCAUGGAGAGGUAGUUCGAAUUGCUGGUGUAGUGGUGAAAUGCGUAGAUAUCAGCAGGAAGACCAAGGGAGAAAUCAGACUACUGGCCAUGAACUGACGCUCAGGUGCGAAAGCGUGGGGAGCGAACUGGAUUAGAUACCCAGGUAGUCCACGCCGUAAACGAUGUAWGSUCGGUAUUUGGGCCUGUUAAGGGCUUGGGUACCUUAGGUAACCCGGUAA